GAUCAUAUCAUACUGAAACACUGGUUAUCAUCUGAUCACUAAAGUUAAGCAACACUGAACCUGGUCAGUACCUAGAUGAGUGACCAAUGGGAAAUACCAGGUGUUGUAA